rnacentral:rRNA from 1 species
ACGAAGUCCUUUCGGGACUUAGUGGCGGACGGGUGAGUAACGCGUGAGAUUCUGGCUUCAGGUCGGGGACAACUGUGGGAAACCGCUGCUAAUACCGGAUGUGCCCAAGGGUGAAAGAUUUAUCGCCUGAAGAUGAGCUCGCGACUGAUUAGCUAGUUGGUAGGGUAAGAGCCUACCAAGGCCAUGAUCAGUAACUGGUCUGAGAGGAUGACCAGUCACACUGGGACUGAGACUCGGCCCAGACUCCUACGGGAGGCAGCAGCGGGGAAUUUUCCGCAAUGGGCGAAAGCCUGACGGAUCAAUACCGCGUGGGGGAGGAAGGCUCUUGGGUCGUAAACCCCUUUUCUCAGGGAAGAACACAAUGACGGUACCUGAGGAAUCAGCAUCGGCUAACUCCGUGCCAGCAGCCGCGGUAAGACGGAGGAUGCAAGCGUUAUCCGGAAUUAUUGGGCGUAAAGCGUCCGCAGGUGGCUUAUCAAGUCUGCUGUCAAAGCCCGGGGCUCAACCCUGGAGAGGCAGUGGAAACUGGUAAGCUCGAGUGCGGUAGGGGCAGAGGGAAUUCCCGGUGUAGCGGUGAAAUGCGUAUAUAUCGGGAAGAACACCAGUGGCGAAGGCGCUCUGCUGGACCGCAACUGACACUCAUGGACGAAAGCUAGGGGA